rnacentral:rRNA from 1 species
AUGCAGGGGGAAAUGGUUUCUCCCAUUUUUAACAAGAUUUGGAAAUCUUCAGUUGUCCACAGAUACAAUAUCUUCUGCUGGUUUCUUGCACUUGACAGAUUGAACAUCAGAAGCCUUCUUCACAGAAAGUCCUUUUAUCUGCCCUCCUACCUAUGUGAACUUUGUAAUGAGCAUGUGGAUGAGACACCCCCCUCAUCUUUUCUGGGACUGUAA